GCACGCGACCGGUCGGCUUAUGAGAGGCAUUGUAUUGAUCAAGGACGAAUUCGGAGAACCAAUUGAAGAAUUAUCACUAACAGAUUGAAAGGCUAAAAACAUGAAAGCGUUAUCGAAUUUGAUAUCCGUGUUUGUACUUUUUUGCUGCAUGGAAGAACGGAAAGUAAUGUGACGAAGUAUUACUAA